rnacentral:rRNA from 1 species
AGAGUUUGAUCAUGGCUCAGAAUCAACGCUGGCGGCGUGCCUAACACAUGCAAGUCGAGCGAGAAAAGGGUAGCAAUAUCCUGAGUAAAGCGGCGCACGGGUGAGUAACACGUGGGUAAUCUGCCCUGGAGUGGGGAAUAACACCGGGAAACCGGUGCUAAUACCGCAUACGAUCGCGAUGUCUGCGGACGUUGUGAUGAAAGGAGCAAUUCGCUCCAGGAGGAGCCCGCGGCUGAUUAGCUAGUUGGUGAGGUAAUGGCUCACCAAGGCUACGAUCAGUAUCCGGUCUGAGAGGACGGUCGGACACACUGGAACUGAGACACGGUCCAGACUCCUACGGGAGGCAGCAGUGGGGAAUUUUUGGCAAUGGGGGAAACCCUGACCAAGCAACGCCGCGUGGGUGAUGAAGUCUCUUGGGACGUAAAACCCUUUCGACGGGGAAGAAACCGCAAGGUUGACGGUACCCGUAGAAGAAGCCCCGGCUAACUCCGUGCCAGCAGCCGCGGUAAUACGGGGGGGGCAAGCGUUGUUCGGAAUUACUGGGCGUAAAGGGUGCGUAGGCGGUGCUCUAAGUCGGAUGUGAAAACUCUGGGCUCAACCCAGAGCCUGCAUCCGAAACUGGAGUGCUAGAGUUCUGGAGGGGGUAGCGGAAUUCCUGGUGUAGCGGUGAAAUGCGUAGAUAUCAGGAGGAACACCGGUGGCGANNNNGCUACCUGGACAGAAACUGACGCUGAGGCACGAAAGCUAGGGGAGCAAACAGGAUUAGAUACCCUAGUAGUCC